GACGAACGCUGGCGGCGUGCUUAACACAUGCAAGUCGAACGGAAAGGCCCUUCUUUUGUGGGGUGCUCGAGUGGCGAACGGGUGAGUAACACGUGAGUAACCUGCCCUUGACUUUGGGAUAACUUCAGGAAACUGGUGCUAAUACCGGAUAGGAGCUCCUGCUGCAUGGUGGGGGUUGGACAGUUUCGGCGGUUGGGGAUGGACUCGCGGCUUAUCAGCUUGUUGGUGGGGUAGUGGCUUACCAAGGCUUUGACGGGUAGCCGGCCUGAGAGGGUGACCGGCCAAAUUGGGACUGAGAUACGGCCCAGACUCCUACGGGAGGCAGCAGUGGGGAAUAUUGCACAAUGGGCGGAAGCCUGAUGCAGCAACGCCGCGUGCGGGAUGACGGCCUUCGGGUUGUAAACCGCUUUCGCCUGUGACGAAGCGUGAGUGACGGUAAUGGGUAAAGAAGCACCGGCUAACUACGUG
rnacentral:rRNA from 1 species